rnacentral:rRNA from 1 species
AGUAACGCGUGGGCAACCUGCCUUGUACAGGGGGAUAACAGUUGGAAACGGCUGCUAAUACCGCAUAAGCGCACGGCAUCGCAUGAUGCAGUGUGAAAAACUCCGGUGGUAUAAGAUGGACCCGCGUUGGAUUAGCUAGUUGGUGAGGUAACGGCCCACCAAGGCGACGAUCCAUAGCCGACCUGAGAGGGUGACCGGCCACAUUGGGACUGAGACACGGCCCAA